UACGGGGGGUGCAAACGUUGCUCGGAAUCAUUGGGCGUAAAGCGCACGUAGGCGGACUCUUAAGUCGGUGGUGAAAUCCUGGAGCUCAACUCCAGAACUGCCUUCGAUACUGAGAGUCUCGAGUCCGGGAGAGGUGAGUGGAACUGCGAGUGUAGAGGUGAAAUUCGUAGAUAUUCGCAAGAACACCGGUGGCGAAGGCGGUUCUCUGGGCCUGACCUGACGCUGAGGAGCGAAAGCGUGGGGAGCGAACAGG
rnacentral:rRNA from 1 species